UUUUAAACUGUUACUUUCUGUCUUAGUAACAGCUGUAAGACAGAAGGGCAAGAGUGAGGCAAACAGGGUUAAGUGACUUGUCCAGGAUCACACACGUAGGAAGUGUCUGAGGACAGCGUUGAAGCCAGGUCCUCCCAUCUUCUGGCCUCGCUCUCUAUCCAUCCUGCUACUAUUUUGCCUCCUUCAAAAGGCAGGUACUCAUUGAAUAUAUAGAAAUGAGCCUGGGAUCAACAUGGGUCAAAGUUUAUGCUUAGAUGCUAAAAAUCCUUGUUAUUGCACAGCUCUGAGCUGAUGUGGAGGUACCCCAUCUACCGUCUAAGUCCAGAGCAUCCUCUGUGUCAGAAGACGGCCACCACCACCGGGUGGGCUACAGGAUGAUUAAUGAUUGGAUCAUAGCAGUGAAAGGUCUGAUUGAAAGGCGUCCGGAUGAAACCACCCAUCCCUCAAGUACCAAAGAAGUAUCAGGAAUCACAUGCCACAUGAAUGAAAUCUUACACACGUCAAGGCUAAAUGUCAGUAUCCUAGGAAACCAGCUAUCUGCAGCCUUUGGAUUGAUUUAACAGAAAUGAUCAGCUGUGAACCAGACUAUGUAACUAAGCUGGUCAGCAGCCUGAGAAAGAUGACUUCACCAGUAAGACACACAAAGGUAAUGGCAAGCCUAAAUGUUUUCUGGAAGUUUUAUUGAACAAUGGGAUUGGAGGGAAAGUGCCUUGUGAAUCCUGUACUGAGUUUAUUCCCUAGAUCU
rnacentral:lncRNA from 1 species